rnacentral:rRNA from 1 species
UAGCGUAGGGUGCAAGCGUUGUCCGGAAUUAUUGGGCGUAAAGAGCUCGUAGGCGGCCUGUCACGUCGACGUGUGAAAACCCAGGGCUCAACCCUGGGCCGGCAGUCGAUACGGGCAGGCUAGAGUGUGGUAGGGGAGACGUGGAAUUCCUGGUGUAGCGGUGAAAAUGCGCAGAUAUCAGGAGGAACACCGGUGGCGAAGGCGGGUCUCUGGGCCAUAACUGACGCUGGAGGAGCGAAAGCGUGGGGAGCGAACAGG